rnacentral:rRNA from 1 species
AUUGAACGCUGGCGGCAUGCUUUACACAUGCAAGUCGAACGGUAACAGGUUAAGCUGACGAGUGGCGAACGGGGGAGUAAUGCAUCGGAACGUGCCCGGUCGUGGGGGAUAACGCAGCGAAAGCUGCGCUAAUACCGCAUACGAUCUGAGGACGAAAGCGGGGGACCGAAAGGCCUCGCGCCAGCGGAGCGGCCGAUGUCAGAUUAGGUAGUUGGUGGGGUAAAGGCUCACCAAGCCAACGAUCUGUAGCUGGUCUGAGAGGACGACCAGCCACACUGGGACUGAGACACGGCCCAGACUCCUACGGGAGGCAGCAGUGGGGAAUUUUGGACAAUGGGCGAAAGCCUGAUCCAGCAAUGCCGCGUGCAGGAAGAAGGCCUUCGGGUUGUAAACUGCUUUUGUACGGAGCGAAAAGGUCUCCUCUAAUACAGGGGGCUCAUGACGGUACCGUAAGAAUAAGCACCGGCUAACUACGUGCCAGCCGCCGCCGUAA